rnacentral:rRNA from 1 species
AGGGAAAGAGGGGGGUAGGCCUAACACAUGCAAGUCGAACGGCAGCACAGUAAGAGCUUGCUCUUACGGGUGGCGAGUGGCGGACGGGUGAGGAAUACAUCGGAAUCUACUUUUUCGUGGGGGAUAACGUAGGGAAACUUACGCUAAUACCGCAUACGACCUACGGGUGAAAGCAGGGGAUCUUCGGACCUUGCGCGAUUGAAUGAGCCGAUGUCGGAUUAGCUGGUUGGCGGGGUAAAGGCCCACCAAGGCGACGAUCCGUAGCUGGUCUGAGAGGAUGAUCAGCCACACUGGAACUGAGACACGGUCCAGACUCCUACGGGAGGCAGCAGUGGGGAAUAUUGGACAAUGGGCGCAAGCCUGAUCCAGCCAUACCGCGUGGGUGAAGAAGGCCUUCGGGUUGUAAAGCCCUUUUGUUGGGAAAGAAAAGCAGCAGGUUAAUACCCCGCUGUUCUGACGGUACCCAAAGAAUAAGCACCGGCUAACUUCGUG